rnacentral:tRNA from 1 species
GCAGUGGCGGUUUGGCAGCAGAAUUCCUGCCUUCCAUGCAGGAGACCUGGGUUCAAUUCCCAGCCAAUGCA